GGGUGGUAAUGCCGGAUGCUCCGACUCCUCGCAUGGGGUGUCGGGAAAGAUUUCAUCGGUAUGGGAUGGGGUCGCGUCCUAUCAGGUAGUCGGCGGGGUAACGGCCCACCGAGCCUACGACGGGUAGCCGGCCUGAGAGGGCGACCGGCCACAUUGGGACUGAGAUACGGCCCAGACUCCUACGGGAGGCAGCAGUGGGGAAUAUUGCACAAUGGGCGCAAGCCUGAUGCAGCGACGCCGCGUGCGGGAUGACGGCCUUCGGGUUGUAAACCGCUUUUGAUCGGGAGCAAGCCUUCGGGUGAGUGUACCUUUCGAAUAAGCACCGGCUAACUACGUGCCAGCAGCCGCGGUAAUACGUAGGGUGCAAGCGUUAUCCGGAAUUAUUGGGCGUAAAGGGCUCGUAGGCGGUUCGUCGCGUCCGGUGUGAAAGUCCAUCGCUUAACGGUGGAUCUGCGCCGGGUACGGGCGGGCUGGAGUGCGGUAGGGGAGACUGGAAUUCCCGGUGUAACGGUGGAAUGUGUAGAUAUCGGGAAAGAAC
rnacentral:rRNA from 1 species